GUCAGGAAGAGGUGAGUCAAGUUUUCCUUUGAGAAAUGUGGUUGGAAAGAACAGAAGUAUUCUGAGCUGAGUUCAGGAAAAAACAGAGAAACUUUUGGAUGUGGAAGGAAGGACAGUCAUAGGCUGCAGGGAUUAAUGUUUGGUAUUACCAUAGUAGAAAACUGGUCUACUGAUCUCACUAGUGCUACUAUCCUGUCACUGACAACGGGAGCACAUGUGCAGGAUGUAGAAUGUGGUUAAUGGAGGAGAGGAAGAGAAGACAAAUAAUAAAAGCAAGGACCUUUGGUAAAUACCUGGACAUAGACAGUGGGCAAAGGAAAAAAAGGUGGAGAAGAGUACAAGGAGCUGUUUUCAUAGUUCCACUUAAAAGCUUGGUUAAAGUUCAUCUACGGCAGUAUUAACAGGUAUGCUAAUCAGACCUAACUCUCACACUAACUGCUACAAUGGCUGAGCACAACUGAGAUGGAGAGCUUUGGCAUUUCUGCUUCUUCCCAUGGUUAAAGAGUCCAUUUGUUGUUCCCUCGGAGACUUUUGCUUGCCUUCUAGACAAAGGAAAAAGAAGCAAAAAUAAAAGGAGUGUACACAUUUUAAAAUAGAACAGGUGGGAGAGACCAUGACAAAAUCUUCACAGGAAUAUCUCUGUCCUUACUACAAAUUCCUAAACUUAAAAUAUGUCUAGGAAAUUCCCUGCACUUUCAAGGAAUUUCCCUGUGCUUUCUAGGAAUGUCUCAGCUUUCCAGUAAUUCCUCAGUCCUAGUAUACCUUUCUAGGAAUUGUUAUAGCUAGAAACUUUCCAGAAAUUUCCCAUAGCUUUCCAUUAGGUUUUGACUGAUUUGUAGGAACUUCCUUUUAUGAAUAAUGAUAGCAAUAUUCUAGUGAUUACUGGGAUUUUUUUCUAUCCAGAACCUUUUUACAAAUUUCUGAUCAUUUUCUAGUUCCUCAGUCCGAAUUUUUUCUAGGACUUUCUUGUAAUAUCCAAGAAUUUCUCACUACUUGCUAGGAAUUCUGUCUAGGAUUAUUCUAGGUCUUCCCCAGUGCUUUUCAGGAAUUUCUCAUCCCAGAACCUUUCUAGGAAUUGCACCUUGCUUUCUAGGAGUUUACCGCUACUUUCUAGCAAUUAUAAAUUCUAGAAACUUUCUAAAUAUUGUUGAGCAUUUUUUUUUAGGAAGUUUUCAAUGCUUUCUGAAAUUUCACUAAUCUGAAAACUCUGAAGUGUGCUUUCUAGGAAUUUUUAUGCAAUUUCUAGGAAUUUCCCACCACAUUUGAGAAAUGCUUAACUUCUUACUAGGAGUUUUUCUGUUUGGAACCAUUCUAUGAAUUCCUUAGUGCUUUCUAAGUGUUUUCCUAUGUUUUCCCAGAAUCCCUUGAUAUUGAAACUUUCUAGGAAAUUUCCAGCAUUUUCUAGGAUUUUCCCUAGUAUGUUUCCUUCCACGAACACUUCUGUUUAGAGCCUUUCUAGGAGUUUUGCAAUCUAUAAAGGUUCUCAGUGCAAAAGCAUAAGGAACUAGAAAAAAAAAAAAAGGUUCUGCAUAAUUAUAUUUACAAAAUUAUGUGUGGCUGGCCAGAAAGAAACAAGCUAAGGAAAAAUAAAAUAGGCUGUGAAUUACAGUAGCUCACAGUAGCAAUUUAGGUCAUAGAACUUUCACCUGUACUAGCUAUAAAAUGUACCUGCCAAAUACAUGCUACUUGGAGCCAAGUUUCAGUAUCAGACUGAUUAAAUUAACACCUCUGCGCAACAGUGCCAUAUGAUGGCAGACUUUGUAACAGUGCAAACUGAUUUAUGGUUGACUCAGUUGUAAUGAUCAGACUCAGAAUCAUUGUUCUUGAGUACGUUU